AUCUGGUCGAGUGGCGNACGGCUGAAAUGGNGAGGAUCUGUAGCUGGUCGGAGUAGGAUGAUCAGCCACACCGGGACUGAGACACGGGCCGGACUCCUACGGGAGGCAGCAGUGGGGAAUAUUGGACAAUGGGGGAAACCCUGAUCCAGCCAUGCCGCGUGUGUGAAGAAGGCCUUUUGGUUGUAAAGCACUUUAAGCAGUGAAGAAGACUCCGUGGUUAAUACCCACGGACGAUGACAUUAGCUGCAGAAUAAGCACCGGCUAACUCUGUGCCAGCAGCCGCGGUAAUACAGAGGGUGCAAGCGUUAAUCGGAAUUACUGGGCGUAAAGGGAGCGUAGGUGGCUCGAUAAGUCAGAUGUGAAAUCCCCGGGCUCAACCUGGGAACUGCAUCUGAUACUGUUGAGCUAGAGUAUGUGAGAGGAAGGUAGAAUUCCAGGUGUAGCGGUGAAAUGCGUAGAGAUCUGGAGGAAUACCGAUGGCGAAGGCAGCCUUCUGGCAUAAUACUGACACUGAGGCUCGAAAGCGUGGGUAGCAAACAGGAUUAGAUACCCUGGUAGUCCACGCCGUAAACGAUGUCUACUAGUCGUUGGGUCCCUUGAGGACUUAGUGACGCAGCUAACGCACUAAGUAGACCGCCUGGGGAGUACGGCCGCAAGGUUAAAACUCAAAUGAAUUGACGGGGGCCCGCACAAGCGGUGGAGCAUGUGGUUUAAUUCGAUGCAACGCGAAGAACCUUACCUGGUCUUGACAUAUCUAGAAUCCUGCAGAGAUGCGGGAGUGCCUUCGGGAAUUAGAAUACCGGUGCUGCAUGGCUGUCGUCAGCUCGUGUCGUGAGAUGUCGGGUAAAGUCCCGCAACGAGCGCAACCUUGUCCUUAAGUACCGCGGGUUAAGCCGGGAACUCAAGGAUACUGCCAGUGACAACUGCAGGAAGCGGGACCACGCAAGUCAUCAGGCCCUUAGACAGGGCUACCCGGCCACACGCAAGACCAGGGCGUACC
rnacentral:rRNA from 1 species